GCCAUGUGAGGUGUGGAGGAAGUGCAUCAGCCAGGACAGGAGGUUUUAAUUGCCAUUACUUGAACCACGCAUGUGUAGUCCCUGUCAGAAUGUUCCAGAAACACUUGAGCCGGGGGUCAGUUUUGGUUGCCGGACAGUGGUUCUCACCACGGUGAGGACAGUGACAAGGGACCACCACCAGGGAGGGAGCAUCAAAGUCAGAAGGGUGCAGGUCCUCAGUCCAGUCUGAAGACUUUCUGAGGCUGCUUUCUCUUUGGCUGGUCUGGAGACCCGGCUCCACACAGACACCUCACCCCAACUGCAGACACAGUGAGAAUCACCCCAGCCCACAAAAACAGGCAGUUUGAAAAGCGCACACGUGACUGUGAUCUAGCCAAGAGAAUUAAACUGGAAAAAACCUGUUCAUGUAGAAGGAGCAUGUAAAAUAUUGUUCAUCCCUCACUCUGAUCUGGAGCUACAGAGCUAGGGAGGAUUUUCAAGGUAAUUUGGAGCUGAGGACAGAAAAAGAAAAGACACUCUAUCAGUCACUUGGAUCUCCGGAUAGUCAUUUUUUAUCCCAUGCAUUGUUGAAUCUGCUUGUCCCUCUUGAAGCCUUUGGAUGAUUCCUGCAGACUCGGGUCCCUAUUCUGGUCUGCAAGUGGUGACUUUGUGUCUGCAUACGGCAUUUUGCCCUCUUGCCUGGGAUCCUGCCGCCUCCAGCAGAGAGAACUUCGGACCCUGUCUGCGAAGAGCAGGCCCCUCCGUGUGUGAGGUCUGUGCCAGUCACGUACACAGCACGCCCCACUCAGGUUAUUUUCACUUUGGGGCAAAUCUUGCCUCUAUGAGACCCCAGAAACACUUCUUCCUGGGCCCCCUCCCUUCUUUCUCUGACCCUUCCUUCUCUAGGGCACAGUCAAGCGGACAAGCCCAGUUUGCAUCUGUGAGAGGGGUUGCAAAUGUCGACCAACUUUGCUAGCACGAUUUCAGCGUGUUCCUUUAGUAAAAGGCCUGGUCUCCAUUAGGGGUGAGGGUGUCGAGGGUGAACCUUAUGGAAAAUGCAGAAAACAGCACCUUGUUCCCCCCCCCCCCCACGUGGCGGCAGGGAAGCCACAGAGAGUGGACAGGUGAAGUCUGUCUCCUGUGCCCCAUGGCUUCCUAGGUUUCAGCAUCCCCCAGUGCAAACACAAGGACCCACGUGUGCACACAAGGACCCUGCAGCCGGAAAGUUGACCACAGCGUGGGCCGGUGUUUCCCAAAAAGCAUGCAGCAGCACCCCUGGAGGGUUUGUUAAAGCCCAGGUGGCUGGGCCCCACCCCGUUUCGGAUUCCAUGCGUCUGGGACGUGGCUCAGGCACCUGCAUUGCCAGCACACCACCCAGGGAUGCUGGUGCUGUGGAUCCAGGGACCUCACCUGGAGAACCACUGAGACAACCAGUGAUGCCAAAAGUCAGGUGAGCUAAGUGCUGGGAUGUUUGACCUAUACAUUUGCACCUGCUCGCCACAGCUUCUCUCCCACUUGCCGGAUCGUCUACCUGGAUUCUCCUCUGUCAUGUACUCAGGGGUCUAAGGUUUACCCUACUUGCAAGCUAACCUGUUAGUCUAUCACAGAUUCGCAGGUGCUGGCAGAGGACGUGAGAUGCCUGGGUCAGAGACAAAGGACAGAUCAGAGCUUACAGCCAGCCAGAGCAGCAGCCCGAGUACCAGAGUUUACACCGGUUCCCCCAGCACCAACUCCCACAGGAGGGCCAGGUGACACACUGGCCCUGCGGUGGGCUGUGGUACAGGAAAGGCACCCCGUGCUUAGGGGGAACCUGAAUCUUUUGUAAUGGACAGUAAAGCUUACCUGACUUUUGCCCUGGAGGGAGACAUUUCUUUAUUCUACUGCCGGUAAAGCACCUUUGCUCCAGGGGUAGACACCGCCCCGAUAUUUCAAGGCUGUUUGCUACACAAAUGUUCUGAAAAAUAUAGUCUGGAAUGAAGGCUUCGUGCACCUCUUCUCUCGGGAUGUGCAGAAACCCGAAAGACCCGUGGAGGAUCGUCUCCAAACACGCUUGUCCUCCUUCUCGUUGGAAAUUGCCAGAAUGUAAGUGUAGUAGUCUCUCGGGGUUCCCAUAACAAAAUAUCAUGAGCUUGGUGGCUUAAA